rnacentral:rRNA from 1 species
GAUGAACGCUGGCGGCGUGCUUAACACAUGCAAGUCGAACGAAGCACUAUUGAAAGAUUCUUCGGAUGAUGGAUAUAGUGACUGAGUGGCGGACGGGUGAGUAACGCGUGGGUAACCUGCCUCAUACAGGGGGAUAACAGUUAGAAAUGACUGCUAAUACCGCAUAACCCGCUAAGGUCGCAUGACCUAGACGGAAAAGAUUUAUCGGUACAAGAUGGACCCGCGUCUGAUUAGCUAGUUGGUGAGGUAACGGCCCACCAAGGCGACGAUCAGUAGCCGGCCUGAGAGGGUGAACGGCCACAUUGGGACUGAGACACGGCCCAAACUCCUACGGGAGGCAGCAGUGGGGAAUAUUGCACAAUGGGGGAAACCCUGAUGCAGCGACGCCGCGUGAGUGAAGAAGUAUUUCGGUAUGUAAAGCUCUAUCAGCAAGGAAGAAAAUGACGGUACUUGACUAAGAAGCCCCGGCUAACUACGUGCCAGCAGCCGCGG